rnacentral:rRNA from 1 species
UACGGGGGGGGCAAGCGUUGUUCGGAAUUACUGGGCGUAAAGGGCUCGUAGGCGGCCAACUAAGUCCGACGUGAAAUCCCAAGGCUUAACCUUGGAACUGCGUCGGAUACUGGAUGGCUUGAAUUCGGGAGAGGGAUGCAGAAUUCCAGGUGUAGUGGUGGAAUGCGUAGAGCUCCGGAGGAACACCAGUGGCGAAGGCGGCCGCCUGGGCCUUUGCUGACGCUGAGGCGCGAAAGCGUGGGGAGCGAACAGG